AGGUUGGUAGCUCACUGGUAGAGUGCAUGCUUUGUGAGCAUGAUGUCCGGGGUUCAAUCCCCAGCUUCUCCC